rnacentral:rRNA from 1 species
CCCUUAGAUGUUCUGGGCCGCACGCGCGCUACACUGAUGCGUUCAACAAGUUUCCUUGGCCGAGAGGCCUGGGCAAUCUUCUUAAUAUGUAUCGUGAUAGGGAUAGAUUAUUGCAAUUAUUAAUCUUGAACGAGGAAUUCCUAGUAAACGCAGAUCAUCAAUCUGCAUUGAUUACGUCCCUGCCCUUUGUACACACCGCCCGUCGCACCUACCGAUUGGAUGUUCCGGUGAAGCCUCGGGAUGAGGACUGGUGCCUUUAUUGGCAUGAGUUGUUCAGAACGUGUCUAAACCUUAUCAUCUAGAGGAAGGUGAAGUCGUAACA